CAUGUGGGCAGCCUGUGGAGACGGCUCAGACCAAGUUUGAGAUGUUCUCCCUCAGUGGCACGUUUGGCACCAGCUACGUCUUCCCAGAAGUGUUGUACAGCGGGGUGCAGCUGGCCCCCGGGGAGUUCGAGGUGCUAAGUGACGGACGUCUGACAAGUCAGAAUACUACGUCAAAGCCAGUUUUGAGUGUAACACUCUUUGGGAGGUGGUAUGAGAAGGACCCUCCACAGACACAUCAAGCUUCAGCAUGAUUUCACGGCAGAUCCUUCAAGCUUUCAUCUGCUUGUUUCUGUAACACUAAUUAAUUAC